UAACAGUUAGAAAUGACUGCUAAUACCGCAUAAGCGCACAGGACCGCAUGGUCCGGUGUGAAAAACUCCGGUGGUAUGAGAUGGACCCGCGUCUGAUUAGUUAGUUGGCGGGGUAGCGGCCCACCAAGACGACGAUCAGUAGCCGACCUGAGAGGGUGACCGGCCACAUUGGGACUGAGACACGGCCCAAACUCCUACGGGAGGCAGCAGUGGGGAAUAUUGCACAAUGGGGGAAACCCUGGUGCAGCGACGCCGCGUGAGUGAAGAAGUAUUUCGGUAUGUAAAGCUCUAUCAGCAGGGAAGAAGUUGACGGUACCUGAGUAAGAAGCCCCGGCUAACUACGUGCCAGCAGCCGCGGUAAUACGUAGGGGGCAAGCGUUAUCCGGAUUUACUGGGUGUAAAGGGAGCGUAGACGGCAGUGCAAGUCUGAAGUGAAAGCCCCGGGCUUAACCCGGGAACUGCUUUGGAAACUGUACGGCUGGAGUGCUGGAGAGGUAAGCGGAAUUCCUAGUGUAGCGGUGAAAUGCGUAGAUAUUAGGAGGAACACCAGUGGCGAAGGCGGCUUACUGGACAGUAACUGACGUUGAGGCUCGAAAGCGUGCGGAGCAAACAGGAUUAGAUACCCUGGUAGU
rnacentral:rRNA from 1 species